AUUUUUUUCCAUCCAGAACAAGAAUCUUCUUAAGGGUGAUUUCCUCAAUGUGCUUGCUGCACGUAGUGAGGGAGGAAGAAAACGUGGUGGAUAGAGAAGCAGUGUUAGAAAAUAGGAAUAUCUUUCCUCUAUGAAACUUUUUGAUACCUCCAUUUCCUGCAAAGAAGAAUUCAAGGUAUCCAGAUUUCCGGAAAAGACAAUGUGACGUCAAAGACCUACCUCCUAUGACAUCACGUCUAUGGUUCUCCCAGAGACAAUCACAUGCCUGGCAGCCAUUGCCUGGAAAAAGAACUCUCUUUCACUUGAGAAAGUGGAGGUUGAGCCACCAAAGGCUGGGGAAGUUCGUAUUAAG